AGAGAGAGACAUGCGCGCAUAUCAAUAAGCGGAGGAAAAGAAACUAACAAGGAUUCCCCUAGUAACGGCGAGUGAAGCAGGGAAGAGCUCAAAUUUGAAAUCUUAAAGGGUUUCCCUUUACGAAUUGUAGUUUAAAGAAGUGUUUUCUGUUGAGGUUUUGGUAAAAGUUCUUUGGAAUAGGACAUCAUAGAGGGUGAGAAUCCCGUAUUUGACCUUUACUUUCAACUUUGUGAUACACUUUCAAAGAGUCGGAUUGUUUGGGAAUGCAGUCCAAAAUGGGUGGUAAAUUUCAUCUAAAGCUAAAUAUUGGCGAGAGACCGAUAGCGAACAAGUACCGUGAGGGAAAGAUGAAAAGAACUUUGAAAAGAGAAGUUAAACAGUACGUGAAAUUGUCAAAAGGGAAGCGUUUGACACCAGUGUUGUUUUUCUGAAAAUCAGUUAAAGAACUGUUUAUGCUAAGUUGUUUAGACUUUAUCAGCUAUCUGUUUAGUUUUGAGCUUUUCUUUAAUGCACUUUUCAGUUAACAAGUCAACAUCAAUUUCUUUUGCUGUAAAAAAGCUUGAGGAAGGUGGCUUGAGAUUCGUCUUAAGUGUUUAUAGCCUCUUGCCUAUGCAGUCGGAGAGAUUGAGGUCUGCAGCGUAGAUCCUUCGGGGCUAAAUGCAUUUGUGCUAAGUUAUAGCAUUUUAUAGACAACUUGUUGACUAUGAUUUGUCUUGUAGCUUACUCGCUUAUGUUAUUUUACCUACGCUUAGGAUGUUGAGCGCAUGUCUCUCUCU
rnacentral:rRNA from 1 species